GUGCUCACUCCGGCAGCACAUACACUAAAAUUGGAAGGACACAGGAUCGGCAUUGCCUCUGUACAAGGAUGACACGCGAAUUCGUAAAGAGUUCCAUAUUUUU